rnacentral:lncRNA from 12 species
GUACUCACGAUGGAGUGAGAGGAUCACCUCCAUAUGCAGAGGCUAGGAACCCCUAUCUGUAUUCAAAGGACAGAAGCGCAUGGCUAGAGCCGACUAGCUGGGAAAUGGGAGUUCCAGCUGGAUCUCCAUAUCAGACUGAAGAACAAGAAGAAGAUGGAAAAGCGUGCCUGUGUUCUUGUUCCUGGAAAUGUUCCAUUUAAAUUCAGAUUAUCUCCUCUCCUGCCUGCCCAAACAUUGGUUCUACUUGUGUGUGUGGUUUUUUUUUUUUUUUUUUUAUUUUUUUUGUUUUUUUGUUUUUUUUUUUUUUUGUCUGUCUCCCCUUUUCCUUUCCCUUAAACCGUCUUGAAAUGGAGUUUGUUGAAGAUAAGGAUUUGUCAUUUGCUAUAUGAGUCUGGUCAAGUGAAACUUCUGAUAAUUUUAAGGAAGUGACUCAAAGUUUUUAGUUGGGGUUUUCCUCACCUGUGAAGACCUAUGUUUACUUAAAAAAAACAAAGAAAAGUAAGCCUUGAUUUCCUGUGAGAUUGACAGAAGGAAGAUUGAUGGAGAUAAAUGACCCAGAAGGAAGUCCUCUUGUCUGAUAUAAAACUCUAGCAAGAAUGAGAAGCCUGACAUGGAAGUAAUGAUUCAGGUCCUCAUGUUAUCCCAAUACCUCAUUAAUAGGCUGCUUGAUGAUUCCGGAAAUCAUAAACAAUGUGGGCAAAGAAGGAAUUUCUCUUUGUUGUGGGAAAGACAUGCAGGAGAUAAAAAACAAGAAUAGAAAAAUUCAUGGGAACCAAGCAUGGAGGGCCAACUAUCUGGGCAACUGGUAUGGAAUUGUGGUCACUGAGGCUCCUGGAAAUGACUGCUGCGCCCCUGUGGUAAGUGUGGGAAGCUACUGUCCUGACAGAAAAGCAUUUCAUCCUAGACACAAAACGCUAUAUCAUUCCCUUGGAUUAGAGUGAUAGAUGGCUUUCAAGGGGAAAAUAAAAGACAUACUCACGUGGAUGCUUCA